AAGGAAAACUCAAGACGGAAAGUUUGAGUGAGGCAGCGCACUGAGCGCGCCGGGCACCGACAGCCAAGGAGGCUCGGUCGCCAAGAUCUAAGACGCGGCAGUGCAGGUCCCAGUCCCUGUCCCUGUCGCAGGGGAGCCGCCCGAAUCCCUGGGAGACCAACCCCGAAAGUUAGCCAGGUUCCUCAGCAACCCGGCCACCCUCGCGCCCACCCCUCUUGUGUACGCACACGCAUCCACACCCCUUUCUGGGCUCCGUACUUGCCGUGGAAAUUCCUGGGGAGAACGAUCGCACUUUUCAGGACACCAAGACAAUUAAGAUCGUCAAAUUAAAAGGGGGCAGCCAUCAAAGGAAAUGAGACAGACUUGGAUGGACUGGUAUGGAAGGAGGUCAUGAUAGACUGUCAAUCGAGAAGACAUGGCUGAUCUUAUUCUCUAAGGAGUUCCUGAUGGAGGACAGGCAGCUCCCUCAUUCUAGACGCCUUCCCUGUCCUGAACCCCCACCAGACCGGUGCCUUUCUGUGCAUCUGGAGGUUACAGAGGGCAGCGGCUACAUCUUAUUCGUCUUAGUAUCUCCAAUGCCUAGGACAUGCCUGCUCAAUAAAUGUUUGCUGAAUGAAUGAACACAUAAA
rnacentral:lncRNA from 1 species